rnacentral:rRNA from 1 species
GAGAGAGACAUGCGCGCAUAUCAAUAAGCGGAGGAAAAGAAACUAACAAGGAUUCCCCUAGUAACGGCGAGUGAAGCGGGAAGAGCUCAAAUUUGAAAUCUUAAAGGGUUUCCCUUUACGAAUUGUAGUUUAAAGAAGUGUUUUCUGUUGAGGUUUUGGUAAAAGUUCUUUGGAAUAGGACAUCAUAGAGGGUGAGAAUCCCGUAUUUGACCUUUACUUUCAACUUUGUGAUACACUUUCAAAGAGUCGGAUUGUUUGGGAAUGCAGUCCAAAAUGGGUGGUAAAUUUCAUCUAAAGCUAAAUAUUGGCGAGAGACCGAUAGCGAACAAGUACCGUGAGGGAAAGAUGAAAAGAACUUUGAAAAGAGAGUUAAACAGUACGUGAAAUUGUCAAAAGGGAAGCGUUUGACACCAGUGUUGUUUUUCUGAAAAUCAAUUAAAGAACUGUUUAUGCUAAGUUGUUUAGACUUUAUCAGCUAACUGUUUAGUUUUGAGCUUUUCUUUAAUGCACUUUUCAGUUAACAAGUCAACAUCAAUUUCUUUUGCUGUAAAAAAGCUUGAGGAAGGUGGCUUGAGAUUCGUCUUAAGUGUUUAUAGCCUCUUGCCUAUGCAGUCGGAGAGAUUGAGGUCUGCAGCGUAGAUCCUUCGGGGCUAAAUGCAUUUGUGCUAAGUUAUAGCAUUUUAUAGACAACUUGUUGACUAUGAUUUGUCUUGUAGCUUACUCGCUUGUGUUACUUUUACCUACGCUUAGGAUGUUGAAGACUCUACAGAGAUA